rnacentral:rRNA from 1 species
UACGAAGGGGGCUAGCGUUGUUCGGAAUUACUGGGCGUAAAGCGCGCGCAGGCGGUUCUUCAAGUCAGAGGUGAAAGCCCAGAGCUCAACUCUGGAAUGGCCUUUGAGACUAGAGGACUUGGGUACGGGAGAGGUGAGUGGAAUUCCCGGUGUAGAGGUGAAAUUCGUAGAUAUCGGGAGGAACACCGGUGGCGAAGGCGGCGACCUGGGUAGAUACUGACGCUGAGGUGCGAAAGCGUGGGGAGCAAACAGG